GGGCGGGCAGGGGGAGGUUGCUCUGUGUGGCGCAGGAGCCGGGGCGGCUCCGGUGGUUCUCGGGGCUGUGCCUCUUGAGCUGUCCGGGGAGAGGGGUCCGUGCGGGGCUGUAGCAGCCGCGGCACUUGGCUGUGGGAUCAAGUACGGGCUGGGGAUUAAAGAGUAGCGCUGGCCUUGGUGGGAGAGGCCGUCAAAAGGGAGCAGGCUGGCUCAUGCCCUUGUCGCAUACCAGGUGACAGGCUACGUUGGCUGUUUUGAGGCUUUUUUUCAGGGUUGUAGCUUCUGUCUGAUAAUUGCACUAGUGGUGUUUGGUUGUCAUAGACAUAGGGCUUAGCGUGACCAGCAGGAGGAGCUUUAUUUCCUCCUAGAGGCAGCUGCUCUCCGUAUGUCUGGAAAAGGGUAGGAUUAGAUUAGAUAUAAGGAAGACAUUUUAUUUCAAGGAUGGUGAUGCAUAGAAACAGGCUGCCUGGAGAAGUUGUGGCUGCCUCAUCCCAAAGCCAGGCUGGAUGGGCUCUGAGCAACCUGUUCUAGUGGAAGGUGUUGCUGCCCACGGCAGGGGGGUUGCAACUAGGUGGUCUUUAAGGUCCCUUCCAAUCCAAACCUAUGACUCUGUGUCCAUAGAGUCAUAUAUCAGCAUUGAAAAAGCUGAGAGAAUGGUUGAGAUGAUGUAAAGCAUCUCAGCAGUUCACCGAACUUGCUUGCCCAUUAUCUUAGGUGUGCUUGCUGUCUGGUGUUGGUGUGGCUUAGCCAGAUGACUGGGUGCUGUCUUAGUUUCAGCAUACCUCUGGCUGGCAUCUAGGAGGUAGGCUAGAAUUUUGACCAUCAGGUUUUAGACUUUAUUGUACUGAAUGUCGUCCCUGCUUUUGCUAGGCUUUUGUGUUGGGGAUUGGGAAAUGAUCUGCUCACCAAAAGAGAGAGUAAUCAAAGCUCCCUUAGGCUUAAGGGGACUGAAGUUCCCUGAAACAAUGUAUAGAAGACUUUUAAUGUAAACUCAAAGGGAGGAUGCUCAAGGUAUUGCAUGGCUUGUGAAAUAAUACCCUUUCGAGCUACAAGUGAUUCUUGUGAAAUAAAGCACUUUAUUAUCUCAAGAAGGUACUCAACUGAAAGGAGUUGUGAAGAGUUUUACAGGCUUGCUUGAUGUGUUAGCUAAAGUCCAGUAGUGGUACAGCUCAGGACAAAUGGGGCUGUGGGGUUUAUUUCGUACUUUGGCUCCUCUUGGAGGUAAGUAGGAUGUAUUUGCUCAGGAUAUUGUCUCACAAUAACUACAUAGAUAGUGUGUUUGCCCCAGGAGACACUCGAGGGGGGGAGGGAGGAUGUCAUGAGAUGUUCUGUGAUGCAUUUGCUUCACCUGAACAUUGCAGCCUUUCAAAAUCUGCUGGUAUUACAGCAAUGUAUGCCAUUCUUCUGUGGCUUUAUAUGCAGCUCUCUUCAGCUAAAGAAUCAGAACCAGUUGCUUGCCAUCCUGUAAAAAGUCUAGUGUCGUGUAAGUGCUUCUCCUCAUGUCCAGGUUGUCCCAUUUUGCCAUAUUCAUGAGUAAAGAAAAAGAGAGGGUGGAAUACUCUCUUGCUGCUGUACUUUUCAUUAAUAGUUCCAUACAUCUGAAAAAUUCUGGAUUACAAGUACAGCCCUUUUUAUUUCUUUUGUACUUCUUUUUCUUCUCUUUGCAGAUACCUUUAGAUUAGGUGAACUGUGGGUGAAAUAAAGGGACAGUGGCAUGAUGACUUCACAGUUACAACAGUGUUCCACAGUAGACUUUAGCCCUAUGUUUUAUCUGUGCAGCUGAUUCCUGGUACUGAUGAAGCCCUGAUGUCUCAGCAGAGAGUUGCUAUAGCAUAUCAAAAUGUAGGAAAAAGGAAAUGACUUCAGAAACUACCCAAGUGAAUGCCUGAUACAAGAGACAAGUAAAACAGUUUUCUCUGUGUGUGUAGUUCACUUCAAUCAGUUUGGGGGUGUCUGAUACUUGUCAGUGUAUGGAUUUUACUCAUCGAUGACAACUUGUUAGAACUGUUAAUGACAAAACCUGUUUUCUGUGUGUCAAACUCGGAUAGUAUGUCCACCUGAAAGCGCUAAUGCACAAGUCUCUCCUGACUGAACAGAUCUUAGUUGCAAGAUCCACAAGAAGCUUACGGUCCUAUUGCAGAAAUAAGCAUUUUCUUGGCGUUUCAUAUGAUAAUAUGCAAGGUGGUGAUAGAAUUGAAAACCUGCCUUCAGCUUUUCUUAAUCACAAAGGUAUGCUCUACUUUAAUGCUGUUAGUGGAAACUUACUCUGGUGUGUGUGUGGUCCUCAGCCUAUGAAGCUGAUGUGUUUGUCUGUACUUGAACUACUAUGCUGACACUGCAAAAACUAUGGAUUAUCUUUGCUACUGAAGUGAUUUCUGUCACUGUGGACUCAGGUAAGCAACCACCCAGUUUCCUGAAGACUUGGAGAAAGAGUUGGAAGAUCCUGCAGAAGAUGUGAGGAAGAUAAGGAUAAUAGGAAUGUGUGAUGACUUAAAGAAGAAAUUGCGUAAUCAAGUUUAAUUUAAGUUCAUAUGUAGAAACCUGUCUUUGUGUCUCAGCUUUGAUUCUGACAAGUUUCCUCUAAAUGAAAACGUCGAGGAUUUGGAUGCUCUAAAUUGAGCAGUCACUGGAUACUGUACUAAGCCAGCUCUGCAGUCUGCAUGAGAUACACAGAUUUUGAGAUGAAGUGUACAAAUAGAUUAUUACAUAAUUUUUAAGGUAUCCGGUGUUAUAAUGCCACAGUGUCAGCAUCCAUGGCAGCACAGCACAGAGAACUGUCAGGGGUUGUCUUGGUUCUUGCAAACUCACUGUCAGGCCUAACAUAAUUCCUGGUAUGCACAUUAGCAUUAGUGGAAUAUAGUUUGUAAGGAUUAUUGAUACCUUACAAGAGUACCUCUAUGCUACUCUUGGAAUGUGAGUCGUGUUUUAAAAUCCAAUUUUCUUAACUAUCCCAGCUGUAAAAUUUGGUUGUCUACGGUCCCAACUGCUUAUUUCAAAGCCUCUGGUGGAAGGGUGUUAACUCUUUGACAUCAGAGUUACUGCUCAGAUGAUGGAGGAUGAAGAAGCUGCAAUAAAGUUUGGUUGGUUGGUUGGUUGGUUGCAAUUGUCUCCCAUGGAGCUGUUUCCCAAAAAGUUAUGGAGCUGCAAAGAGAAAGGUGAGAGGGUGAAUUUAGCUGGGUAGAAUAGGUAAGUAUUUCUAUAUCAUGUUACUGUUUCCAAGUAUAUUAAUCAUAGCACAUGAGAAUACAUUGUGUUGUCUUGGUUCUUUGACAGGGAAAGCUUGGAAAAACAGGAGAGAGUGGAAGACUUCUGUGCCUUUUUUAAAUGUUUUCAAUGAAAUUGUGGGGAGGAAGCUGUUAAACCAGUAUCUGGAAGAGCCUAGUAUUCCUGCAUAGCAAAAGGAGUCUGUAAAGCUGCUCUGGAAGUAAUUCUAGUGACUAAUUAUGAAGUGUAACUUUUUUGUGUGUGUGUCUUUCAGCACAAGAAGAGUGCUCUAAGAGCAGUCAAGAACCUUUUCAGUUAGCAUGAACAUGUUCUUCAACCAAAACGUGGCAGCAGUUCAAUAGCAGUUACACAACAGGAAAGGGUGUGCAGGCUACUGCAAGUCCCUGGGUUCAUAAGAUCUGGUAUCUGAAAGAACUCACUAGAGAGAAGAAUGUGGUUUUUUCCACAACUUCUGUCUUGAGUUGAAAAGAGAGCUAAUACUGCAACAGGAAAUUGAUUUUAUUGUAGUUACUGGAGAUGGUCAUCACAAUAUGCAGGACUUCAAAGUGUUAGGACACUGAAAAACUGCAGGUAGUUUGAGUACAAGAGACUCCAGGGCUCCAAUUGUGGGAAGUUCCCUCUUCAGAAGGCACACUAACAUUGGGGAAAACUUGCUAAACAUAAGGAGACUCAAAAUGUUCUGCAGCUGUCUCUUAGCUACACAUGGAUAUAUCUCUUAAGGUGGGAUGGUGUGAUAUGACCUCUGAAGACCAUAGGGCUGUAAGCAGACCACAUUUCUCUUACGAGCAUGUGUGCCACUAACCAGUUCAGAAGCACCCCAAAAGCUUCAGGUUUUGUCACAUAAUAGUAUUUCCUGGAACAAUAGCUUUUCUUGGUCCACCUCACUCCUGCAAAGCCAGCUGGCUCAUGGCAGCACUGCUGUGAAGAUACGCCUUCCACACCCACGAGUUGCUGAAGACUUGCACAGAAAAUUACUCAGACAGGCUCCAGAGCUGAGCAUAAAUCUUUUGGCUCACACUGUUGUAGCUUUAAGAUACACGAGUGCUUCCAUGUGGAACAAGAAACACUCAGGCUGCGUGUUUAGAUGUACUUUGUGUUUGCACUGCCCUCUGCAGCACAAAGCUUGAUCAAGCCCUGUAUUGCAUAAAGCAGGUGGAGGUAUCAUGCUGAGAUUGUGCUUGGGUGGACCUCACUCAGUUGCCACUGAUCAUGGAAAGAUCUGUUUUUGUUGUGUAGGGGUAAACCUGAGUUGGUAACUGAUACUGCUCAGCUGAUGUGUGUGUCUGUGGCAGGCGAGCAGUCCAUGAGCUGACAAAUCUUUGACCAUGGUACUAGCUCAAUACUUCCAAAAUAAUAAAAAGGGGGGGCGAGGGGCAGCAGAGGAUUUUUUUAAGGGUCACAUAAGUUCUACUGAAAUUAAAAGCUCACUAAAAAUAACUUUGUGGAAAGAAUACAUUUUAGGAAAUGAUGAUGCCUGUGACGAGAGCAAUAUGAGCCUUUAGUUAUGGCAAGCCUCCAAUGCUGUUCCUUGUCCCUGUUUUUGUGAGGUGUGGGUGAAAAGUGAACACAGGGAGAGUGAAAGCCAUAACCGGAGGUUAAAAUUUAAUUUUAGCAACCAUAGUUUCAAGUCAAAUGAUGCACCAUUAUUUAUUUUCUUAGGAAAUCCUGCAACUAAAUUGAUAGGCUGGAGUCUCUCAUUAUGCAUGCAAGUGUUCUCAGGUUCUCCAGCUCUUUGGGUGCAGUGGUGCAAAAUUUUGUGUUGCUUCCUGUAUGAUUCAGCUUAAAAUACUAGCUUGGGCAGGUGAGUACUUAAACAACAGUAUUGCAGUCAGAGCACUCCUUAGUGCACACAAACCAUUUCCUUUGGGUAAGUAAUGCUGCACUGUGAAAAGCACACAACUUCUGGGACAGCAGCAUUUGAUAGUGUCUAUACCAGAAUUCCCUGGGUUUCCUCUUUUCCUUGGUCUCUUCACCCAGACUUUUAGCUUUUCUGUACAUUAUCACCACCUGACUCUUUUCUACCACCUCAUUAUUUUUGGUGGGGUUUUUUGCUAUUUCUUUUCCAAGUGCCUCUUCCUGAAAAACUGGCUACCACAGUGAGUAUCACAGUUUCUGGGCAAGUUUCCGCUCACAUGGUUUCACUUGCUCUGUUUUGUUAUUUACAUACAAAGUCCUAAGGAUAUAAUUUAGUGGACUGCUAGUGAGUAGCUAACGUUCAUGUCUUGACUGCAGUCUGCAUAGGUCAGGUUUGCACAAGCCUCCUGCUUCAUGAAUUCACUUCUGUAAGCAGGACUAGUGAUAGCUCAGUGUAGUUGAGAUGAAUCCCAGCGUGAACAGAGAGCUGGAGUAAGAUGUGGAACAGUUUUAAGUUUGGGGUUUUUUUCCUUACCAAGACUACCAAUAUAUUUUCCUCUUAUGGAAAUAAUUCUUACAUUUGGGGAGUUGUAUGUUACCCCUGCACACAUAGCCAAAUAUAAUUUUAUAUUUAAUGGCAGAGUAGGUCUGCAAAAGAGAGAAUUAGGUAUUAAAAUGUUCCACGUAUAAUAGAUGAAAAGCUAAUCUGAGUUUCCUCCUACUACCAAUGAAAUUGGCUGCUCUGCCAUAAACUCUUGCUAUGCUAAUAUGAUUUACUGCUCCACUGUGAUAAUGGUGAAUGUUGCUCUCUGGUGAGGACAAUGUGGUGGCAGCUGUUUCAGAGUGAUGAGCAGCGGCUUUGCUGAACAUGCUCUGCUUUAGCGGAUGUCAGCUAAAACAGUAGUUGCACCCCCCAAGAGUUAGAUUGUUGCUGUUGUUAACCUUUGUAGAGAAACAUGCAAAGUAUAGGCAGGUGCAAUCCUCGGGUGAAUUGGCAAGAGGGUGUUGCACAGCUAAGUGGGUACUGUGUCUCACCACGGAGGAAUGGCAGGGAUGAGCUUUACUAGUUCAUAUCACUGAGGUCCAUUUGGCCUCUUUCAAAUUCCUGCCCACUGAAAGCUCCUCUGACCUCCAGGGUAGAUUGUGACUGGAGCAACUGCUGUCCCAGUGCUGCGUCCUGGAAAAAAGGAGGUGGUGAAAUGGAGUUUUAGUAGGCCCAGUGAAAAUAAAUGGAUUUUCUUUUCAUUAUAAAUAAUACAUUUAUACAGUAAUUUAUAAGUAUUUUUGUAGUGUAAAUACAUUUAUAAAUACAUAUCUGGAAAUAUGUGGAUAUAUGAUAUAAAAGAUAUAUUUAAAUACAUUUGUAUGCAUUAUUGUAUAAUAAUUCAUAAUUUAACACUUCAUAAAAUAUAAAUGAGUCAGUUGGGAGAAUCAUGGAAAAGUAGAGUAGUUUUGUCUUGCUGACAGACUCCUGGGAUAGAGAAGCUGUUCCCUCUUGAGCACAAAUCAAACGUGAAUGUCUGGUCCCCAACAAAUACAGUUUGUGUUAAUUAUUUUAUUAAAAUGUCCAAUCACA